rnacentral:rRNA from 1 species
AGUGAACGCUGGCGGUAGGCCUAACACAUGCAAGUCGAACGGCAGCACAGUAAGAGCUUGCUCUUACGGGUGGCGAGUGGCGGACGGGUGAGGAAUACAUCGGAAUCUACUUUUUCGUGGGGGAUAACGUAGGGAAACUUACGCUAAUACCGCAUACGACCUACGGGUGAAAGCAGGGGAUCUUCGGAUCUUGCGCGAUUGAAUGAGCCGAUGUCGGAUUAGCUAGUUGGCGGGGUAAAGGCCCACCAAGGCGACGAUCCGUAGCUGGUCUGAGAGGAUGAUCAGCCACGCUGGAACUGAGACACGGUCCAGACUCCUACGGGAGGCAGCAGUGGGGAAUAUUGGACAAUGGGCGCAAGCCUGAUCCAGCCAUACCGCGUGGGUGAAGAAGGCCUUCGGGUUGUAAAGCCCUUUUGUUGGGAAAGAAAAGCAGCAGGUUAAUACCCCGCUGUUCUGACGGUACCCAAAGAAUAAGCACCGGCUAACUUCGUG